rfam:Glossina morsitans morsitans, isolate Yale, WGS project CCAG01000000 data, contig: ctg10002796
AAGUUCUUGUAAUCAAGUGGCCAUGAAAAUGUAUAUAACUGAUUAUAUAUAAAUGAGAGGCCUUAGGGUCGAAACGAUCUUAACCUAUUCUCAAACUUUAAAUCGGGAACAACCUCACCUUUCUUGGUAUGAAGGUUGUGGUUGUGAUAUAAUGUGCCCAGUGAGCCACUUAUGGUAAGCAGAACUGGCGCUGUGGGGUGAACCAAACGUAAUGUUACGGUGCCCAAAUUAACAACCGCUGCACCACAUACGUCUAAUGAUCACAUCAUAAGCGCGCUGCUAGCCUCCCCACCAUCAUCCACAUUGCCGCACCAAAGUGGACGACUUAUGUAUAUGAUCGCAACAGACAUAGGCAUUGGUAAGCA